AAUGAAUCCUACCUUUACCAGGUAUUAAGCAUUAAACCUUAGAAAAAUCAUUUUGUUUCUCUGAAUCUUAUUUUCUUUUUCAUUAAAAAAGGACGAUUUAUGGGGUUAUCACUGCCCAGAGAUUGUGAAUUUAACUGGAUAUUUAGACAGACUGAAGAGGAACUAAGGGUUGACUACACCACCCCACUUGCACCUACUGACUUACAUUAAAAAAUUGAUGUAGUCUAUCAGAAAAAGAAUGCGGGCUGUGGAGUUUGACUACCUAGGUUUGAGUUUCAGCUCCUCUCUCCACUUACUAGCAGAAUGAAUGUGGAAAAAAAUUAAGGGAAUUUAUAAAGAUACCUGUUGAACCAUGAGAUUAAAAAAAUAAGCAGAGAAGUUCAAAGGAAAAAGAAAACACAGAAGCAAUUUGCUGUGUUGUGAAGAGAGCUAUUUUGGACAUAAAGGUGGCCCAUAGGAGAUGAGAGCAACUCUAGUCAACAGCCAGCAAGAAAACUGGGACCU